AACAGUUUAAUUGAUACGCUUUUAUGAAGAAGUGGGUUUUUAACGAUUUUUUGAAGGAGUGGAGACUGGGUGAGCAUCUAACGGAGGAGGGAAGCGAGUUCCACAGGAACGGUGCAGCCCUCGAGAAAUCUUGAAGGCGAGCAUCAGAGGUGGGAGUACGGACAGAAGAUAGACUUCAGCAGAUUGUAAGGGCCUAGACAGGACAUACUUGUGUAUAAGGGAGGAUAGAUAGGUGGGAGCAGCAUUAUGUAGAGAUUUGAAAGCAAGAACCCGAAUUUUAAAUUGAGCUCUAUAUUUUAUAGGAAGCCAAUGUAGGGACUGACAGAAGGGUGAGGCAUGGGAGGUGCGGG